ensembl:lncRNA
AUUUGAAAUCAAAAUCCUUUGUAACAUUAUGAACGUCUUUACUGUCACUUUGAUCAAUUUAAUGCAGCCUUGUGGAAUAAAAUACAUUUCUUUAAACAAAAACAAAAUAUAUUGACCCCAGCUUCUGAACGGUAGUGUGUGAAUGUUCCAGUUCCUCUUUCUGUUUUCAUCAUCAUUAUCACUGCUCGCUUCAGUGCGUGUUUCUGAUUGGUCAGCAGGCAGCAGUGGGUGUGGCCCAGAGAAACCCAGCGUCAGUGACAUCAUUAACCUCGAGAUGUUGCAACUUGGAUCCAAACUGAAAUCAAGUAACACGCAGUCAGGCUGGUCCUGUCCUUCCUGUACAUUCAUAAAUAAGUCUACGAGACCCGGCUGUGAAAUCUGCAGCACAGAUCGACCCGAUCACAGCAGCGUUCAACAGGUGAUUUCACUCACAACUACACCUGUUCACUGUGCUGGAACACUGUGCGCUCAUAUUUAUUCUGUUUCUGUUCUAGGAAAAAGCUAGAAGCUCUAACCAGUGAAAGUGUGCUGUAAAUACACACAAACAGAGACAAAACCCCUAAAAUAAUCUUACACAUUCACAUUCGAACGACGCGUGAGGACCUACAAUGCGAGUAAGAGUUGGCCUGCAGCGUAUUUCACCGGUGGGUUAAUCUCUAUUAGUUUACAGUAACUAGUAACUGACUUGUUGCUUGGUUUCCCUUAAAGGAGUCGUGACAUGGAUUUGCUUUUGAGCUUGAUUAAACGCUUUGUUUUUAAUGAGGAUUAAGCUGUGAAACUUGCAGGAUGUUUUAAAGGUACAAAGACCUCUUACAUGUCAAAAGAUCGAGGAACAUUAUAUUUCUCAUGCCGUGACGCCUUUAAUGGAGUGAUAUAACUUGAACAGUAUUAGGCACCAGAAGUUAUUCAGGUUCAUUGAGAUAAUAAAAAACAAAGCAGAAACCGUGUCAUGUGUGGCGUUAGAUGGUACGAACUCAAGUCUAUUUAGGACAAAUUGCAAGUUGUUUUAAAUAAGACAUUAUAAGAAUCCUUUAGCUUUGGUUGUAGAUUCAGAUGUGUAAUCUGAAGAGGAACGCUACAGUGGCAAAAUUCAACGUUAAUUAAACAUGCAGCAUUUCAAGCUUUAUUUUAAUGCACUUGUUGGAAAGGAGACGAUGCACAAGUUAGAAUUCCUAGAUUUCAGUCCGUUUGCAGACGUGACGCUUCUUUUGCCGUUUAUUCACAAGCUCAUACUGUAAUUUCUGCUCGUGCAACUGUUUAGGAAUAUUCUUCCCUCACUUCACGGUGUGUAAAUCAGUGUUCGUGUCCACUGGAACUAGAACAGGUUAAUUUAUGUUCAUCAAGCUCUAUUUUAGGGGCUUGUGUUUUAAAUGUGACUGUAUGUCAUAAUGUGACGAGGCCAGUACAUAAUGAGAAGAACAACUGAAUGGAACUUGCAUAAAUGCAUGUUAUGUCAAAUUUAUGGUCUAAUUAUUCCUUAUCAAAAUGACUGGGAAUUCUCAUUGAAGACUUUGUUCAUAUUUGGAACAAACUACAUUCAGAUACAGGGUUAUUAAGUACAUUUGUUAUUUUUUUACAUAGUGUUAUUUAAUGAACGGUUGCUUUGAACUGAAUUAUAAUUGCAUUGAAUAUGUGUGUAUUGUAAAUGAUUGUGUUUAAAGUCUACCUGCAUUUCUCCAUGGCUUUGCUGUGAAUAAACAUAAUGAAUUAAGAAGCUUGAGAGUAAUCUUUAGCCUCUGG